rnacentral:piRNA from 1 species
UUGGUAGACGAUGCUGGACGUGACAUGGU